GAUGAACGCUGGCGGCGUGCCUAACACAUGCAAGUCGAGCGAUUCUCUUCGGAGAAGAGCGGCGGACGGGUGAGUAACGCGUGGGUAACCUGCCCUGUACACACGGAUAACAUACCGAAAGGUAUGCUAAUACGGGAUAACAUAAGAAAUUCGCAUGUUUUUCUUAUCAAAGCUCCGGCGGUACAGGAUGGACCCGCGUCUGAUUAGCUAGUUGGUGAGGUAACGGCUCACCAAGGCAACGAUCAGUAGCCGACCUGAGAGGGUGAUCGGCCACAUUGGAACUGAGACACGGUCCAAACUCCUACGGGAGGCAGCAGUGGGGAAUAUUGCACAAUGGGCGAAAGCCUGAUGCAGCAACGCCGCGUGAGCGAUGAAGGCCUUCGGGUCGUAAAGCUCUGUCCUCAAGGAAGAUAAUGACGGUACUUGAGGAGGAAGCCCCGGCUAACUACGUGCCAGCAGCCGCAGUAA
rnacentral:rRNA from 1 species